rnacentral:rRNA from 1 species
CAUUAACUGAAUCCAUAGGUUAAUGAGGCGAACCGGGGGAACUGAAACAUCUAAGUACCCCGAGGAAAAGAAAUCAACCGAGAUUCCCCCAGUAGCGGCGAGCGAACGGGGAGGAGCCCAGAGCCUGAAUCAGCAUGUGUGUUAGUGGAAGCGUCUGGAAAGGCGCGCGAUACAGGGUGACAGCCCCGUACACAAAAGCGCAUGUGCUGUGAGCUCGAUGAGUAGGGCGGGACACGUGGUAUCCUGUCUGAAUAUGGGGGGACCAUCCUCCAAGGCUAAAUACUCCUGACUGACCGAUAGUGAACCAGUACCGUGAGGGAAAGGCGAAAAGAACCCCGGCGAGGGGAGUGAAAAAGAACCUGAAACCGUGUACGUACAAGCAGUGGGAGCACCCUUUGGGUGUGACUGCGUACCUUUUGUAUAAUGGGUCAGCGACUUAUAUUCUGUAGCAAGGUUAACCGAAUAGGGGAGCCGGAGGGAAACCGAGUCUUAACCGGGCGUUAAGUUGCAGGGUAUAGACCCGAAACCCGGUGAUCUAGCCAUGGGCAGGUUGAAGGUUGGGUAACACUAACUGGAGGACCGAACCGACUAAUGUUGAAAAAUUAGCGGAUGACCUGUGGCUGGGGGUGAAAGGCCAAUCAAACCGGGAGAUAGCUGGUUCUCCCCGAAAGCUAUUUAGGUAGCGCCUCGUGAAUUCAUCUCCGGGGGUAGAGCACUGUUUCGGCUAGGGGGCCAUCCCGGCUUACCAACCCGAUGCAAACUGCGAAUACCGGAGAAUGUUAUCACGGGAGACACACGGCGGGUGCUAACGUCCGUCGUGAAGAGGGAAACAACCCAGACCGCCAGCUAAGGUCCCAAAGUCAUGGUUAAGUGGGAAACGAUGUGGGAAGGCCCAGACAGCCAGGAUGUUGGCUUAGAAGCAGCCAUCAUUUAAAGAAAGCGUAAUAGCUCACUGGUCGAGUCGGCCUGCGCGGAAGAUGUAACGGGGCUAAACCAUGCACCGAAGCUGCGGCAGCGACACUGUG